AGCAGCGUGGCUCAGUGGAAAGAGCCUGGGCUUGGGAGCCAGAGGUCAUGGGUUCGAAUCCCGGCUCUGCCA
rfam:Ornithorhynchus anatinus chromosome 2, whole genome shotgun sequence.